GACGAACGCUGGCGGCGUGCUUAACACAUGCAAGUCGAACGAAGUGGCGAACGGGUGAGUAACGCGUAAUCAACCUGCCCUUCAGAGGGGUACAACAGUUGGAAACGACUGCUAAUACCGCAUACUGAAGGAGGGGAUUGCGUCUGAUGAGCUAGGUGGAGGGGUAACGGCCUACCAAGGCGAUGGUCAGUAGCCGGUCUGAGAGGGUGAACGGCCAAAAUGGGACUGAGGCAAGGGCCAGAAUGCUACGGGAGGCAGCAGUGGGGAAUCUUCCGCAAUGGGGGAAAGUCUGACUGAGCAACGCCGCGGGAGUGAUGACGGCCUUCGGGUGGUAAAGCUCUGUUAAGCGGGACGCGGUACCGGAAGAGAAAGCCACGGCUAACUACGUGCCAGCCGCCGCGGUAAUCC
rnacentral:rRNA from 1 species